rnacentral:lncRNA from 1 species
AUCAACCCAGCUUUCCACCUUGAGAAGAUCAAGGUUUAAAAUCUUUAUCUUCCAUAGUCCUGAAUCAGAUUAGAUUGCUUGAUGUAUAUAUGUUCAUUUGGCUCUGAGCCAGUUUGUGUUUUCUGCUUCUAUGUAAUAGAACAUGGUACCUGCGUUCCACAAGAGCUGCAGCGAGACCGUUGGCAAAUGGGACAAGUUGGUGUCGGAGAAAGGGUCGUCCUGUGUGGUGGACGUUUGGCCUGGGCUUGUGAGUAUGACUGCAGAUGUGAUCUCUCGUACUGCUUUUGGCAGCAGCUACGUAGAAGGGCAGAGGAUAUUUGAGCUCCAAGCGGAAAUAGCACAGCUCAUCAUACAAGCUUUUCGGAAAGCUUUCAUCCCUGGAUAUCGGUAAUAAGAAUCUCAACUUGUCUGCUUUUAGAACAAGGCCUUUUAGAGCUUGAGUAGUGCCGCAAUCUAUUAGAUAUUUUGAUCCAUGUUGUGUUAUAUUCUCUCUGUCGUCUGUUCAUGCAGUUAUCUCCCUACGAAGGGUAACAGAAGGAUGAAAGCAGCAGCUAGAGAAAUCCAAGUUAUACUGAGAGAGAUAGUUACCAAAAGGCUUAAAGCAGCAGCUAGAGAAAUCCAAGUUAUACUGAGAGGAGCUGGGUAUACUUCUUGAAUCGAAUUUGGGACAAACGAAAGGAAAUGGAAUGAGUAUUGAGGAUGUGAUGGAGGAGUGCAAAUUGGAAUGAGUACCGAGGAUGUGAUGGAAGAAUGCAAGUUGUUCUAUUUCGCUGGCCAAGAGACAACAUCAGUACUUCUGGUUUGGACGAUGGUUCUGUUAAGCCAACACCAAGAUUGGCAAGCUCACGCACGAGAAGAAGUGAGGCAAGUUUUUGGCGAUAAAGAACCUGAUACAGAAGGCCUUAACCAACUCAAAGUUGUAAGUAUAAACCAAAACAAAAACUUUUUAAAGUGACUUCACUACUUUUGUUGCAUUUUGAUGAUUUAAGAUGAAUGAUUUGAUCCCUCACAGAUGAGGAUGAUAUUAUAUGAGGUCCUUAGGCUAUAUCCUCCAGUAGCCCAGCUGACCCGAGAAAUCCACAAAGAGAUGAAGCUCGGAGAUGUGACAUUACCCGGCGGUGUUCAGAUCAGUCUACCUAUCAUGCUAGUCCAACGCGACACAGAGCUGUGGGGUAACGAUGCAGGGGAGUUCAAGCCAGAGAGAUUCAAAGAAGGUCUCUCAAAGGCAACAAAGAACCAAGUCUCUUUCUUUCCCUUUGCGUGGGGACCAAGGAUUUGCAUUGGCCAGAAUUUCGCAUUACUUGAGGCAAAGAUGGCAAUGACUUUGAUUCUACAGAGAUUCUCCUUCGAGCUUUCUCCUUCCUAUGUUCACACGCCUUUCACAAUCGCCACCAUUCACCCACAGUUCGGUGCUCCUCUUAUGCUGCACAAGCUCUAAUCACAUAACCCAUGUGCUGUUAUCAAAUAAACUCGUCUUUUUUACGUAAAAUCCGAGAUUAAAAAAAAAAAUUGAAAUGAAUAAUACAGUCUCUCUCACCACAGAAGAAACUAAAUUAAACACUACAGAGCUUAAAUAUCAAAGGAAUGAAGGGAUGAGAUAUGUAAUGUGACGUUUUCUUUUUUACUGAAGUAAAAUAUUAUAACAACCAGUUUAAGAUAGGGUUUGUGGUAUGUUAGAGCACUUUGUGAGUUAUUAUGAGCAUAUGGGGCACAUAUGAGGGAGUGGGCACUUUUUUGGAGUUUUUUCACUGUGCAACAAAAAAUAAUACCAUUAUACCCUUACUACACGUGGACAGUUAACCAAACUAUGGUUAACUUGUUUAAUCUCAGCCGUUGGAUGUCCAGGAGAAAGAAAUGAUCUAACGGUUUGUUAUUACUGAAAGAUGAGACAAUGGAAUUGUGUGGAUAUUGCCGACAAAAAAGAUCUAAUGGUUGUGGGUGAGCACGGUAUUCGGAGUGGAGUUUGGUUGUAAAGAGAGAUAACUGAAGGUAGUGGAUUAUAAGAAAAGAGGAUUAUAAGUUCUAAAUCAAGGAUAAAUAUAUUUUUCAUUGUAUAACAAAUUAUAAUUAUUUUUUCUUUACAUUUGAAGAUCCAUUUUACUAUAGUUUAUAAAUAUAAUCAUAUAACAUAUAAAUAUUUUUAAAAGAUAAAAUAUAAAUUAUCCACAUAAUCUUGAACACACGACAAUUUCUUAUAAUUUUACAUAAAAAUUGACAACACAAUCAUUUAAAAUUACCGUCCAUACAAGCACAUCCACCAAACUCUAACCACAUGGUCAUUUCAAUUCAUGUCUAAUUUAUUUCUUCACUCUUAACGAAAAGUAUGUAGCCAUAAACCCUAGAAUCAUUGUAGAAAAUCAUGGUUCUUUAACCAAAAUACCCUAAACCUACACUAUAUAAAAUUUACCCUACACACUAAACCCUAAACCUUCUAUACUAAACCCAAGCACCUAAACCUAAACCCUAAACCCUAAACUCAAAACCCUUAAAUUUAAAACCUAAACCAUAGAGAUUUAACCCUUAACCCUUAACCUUAUACCUAAACCUAAUUCCAUAACCUCUAAACCUAAACCACAAACCCUAAACCCUUGAUACUAAACCCUAAAGCAUAAACGAUAAACUCUAUACCCUAAACACUCUACCGAAAAGAACAAAACCCUAUACUCUAAACAAUAAAUACUAAACCCUAAAUAGUAAAUCCUAAACCCUAAAUACUAAACACGAAAUCCUAUACCUUACACCCUAAACAUUAUACCAUAACCUCCAACCCUAAACCCUAAACAUUAAUACUAAAUACAAAACCCUAAUUACUAGACACUAAACCCUAAAUACUAUACCCUAAAUAGUAAAUGCUAAACCCUAAAAACUAAACACAAAACCCUUUACCCUAAACACUUAACACUAUACCGAUAAGAACAAAACCCUAAACCCUAAACAAUAAACACUAAACCCUAAACAGUAAACAUUAAACCCUAACUAAACACGAAAUACUAUACCCUAAACAUAAAUACUAAAUACUAAAACCUAAUUAUUAAACCCUAACCUCUAAAUACUAUAUACCCUAUCCAUCAUAACUUAGCCACGUGGUCGAUAUAAAUUAAACUCUAAACCAUAAACAAUAAACCCAAUAAGCUUAACCCUUACCUUACCAUCAAAAUAUUGCUACAGGGUUGGAUAAAAACUCUUUCCAUGUAAACCUAACCACGUGAUUCCAUAUACGCUCAAAUUCUAAGACUAUACUAUACCCAUAAGAAUGAAACCCUAAACACUAAACAAUAAAAACUAUACCCUAAACAGUAAAUACUAAACCCUAAAUACUCAAUAAACCGUAAACUCUAAACAUAAAUAAUAAAUACUAAACAAUAAUUAAUGCAUCCUAAACCCUAAAUAGUAAACAUAUCCAUCAUAACAUAGCCACGGGGCUGAUAUACAGUAAACCCUAAACCAUAAACAAUAAACCCUAAACAUCUAAAGUCAAAACUCUCAACUCUAAACCAUUGAGACUAAACCAUUAACCCUAAACCAUAUAACUAAACCCUAUACCAUAAACCCUAAACCCUAAAGCAUAAGACUAAACUCUUAACCCUUAAGCAUAUAACUAUACCCUAUACCUAAACCCUAAAUCCUAAACUCUAAACCCUUAACUCUAAAUUCUAAACCCUAAUCUAAACCCUAAACAUGAAAUCCAAAACUAUAACCCUAAACCCUAGAAUAAAACCUCUAACUUUUAUCCCCUCAACCUUAAACCGUAACUUUUAUAGAUAUAACAUCAAUAACCACCACUUUGGAUCCAUAAUAAUCUAAAACAUGUUUCUUAAUCUGAAAACGUAUAACAUUAUUGAGAUCGAUCUGUUCAUACACAAUCAUACAAUAUACACUCGUAUUGUUGUUUUGUUAUAUGUAAUCGUAGAUAUAUAAAUAUGGAGAUUUCUAUGGAAUAACUUUUCUGGAUAUGACCACUAGAACUUGUUUCAUCAUAUUUUAUCACGAUCUUUUAUAUAACAUAACACUUAUUUUGUGGACAACAUUAUACAAAAAUCACAUUAGAUUCGUAACAUAACAAAAUAUUGGCUUUCAUAAUGUUUUCUCUAUACAUAAAUCAUUCAUAAAUUCAUAAUGCAUAAUACAUCAUCCAUUAUGCGUCAUCCAUAAUGUGGCAUCCAUAAUAUGUCAUACACAAUAGUCAACAAUAAUAGUGGUGACUGAUAGAGAUAUGUGUAGGAAGUCAUUGACACAAAUAUAUUUUUAAAGGAAAAAAUAUAAACUAUCCACAUAAUCUUGAUAACAUGACGGUCUUGUUUUUAAUUUUACAUCAAAAUUUACAAUGUAAUCAUUUCAAAUUAUCGACCAUCUAUGCACAUCCACCAAAUUCUGACCACGUGGUCAUUUCAAUCCAGGUCUAAUUUAUUUCUCACUCUCAAAAAACAUAUUUUCACCUCUACCGAAACUUCAGACAAAGUAGGGAAAAUUAGCCACUUUUCUUCUCAUGAAGCUUCUUCUUCUUGUACGAUUUAAUCUAGGAUUCAUGAUUUCAACAAAACCUCUUUCCUUAUAUCAUUGAUAAAUGAAACCCCAAGCUGUCAUAGAAAUUGGUUUUCACAUAUAUCUUUAUUAAUUAUACAGUAAAAUCUAAAAUUAAGUAGUAUCAAUUAAAAGAAGAAGAAGAUAAAAUAUUUGAAUCUGUUUGGGUGAGACUCAAACAAGACGAGACUUUGAGCAUUCGUUUAUGUCGUCCAUGGAGAUUUAAAUGAGUAAGACGACGUUGCUCUGGGAUUUGGGAAGCUUCUUGAGGAUAUUAAGGAGAAGAAAAUUGGGUUUCUGAAAUUCAAAUCACAGAUCUGAUGGAUAUGAAUCUAAGACGAAGUGUAGAUAAAUCAAUGCGAAAAGUAAAAGAUAUGAUUAUGAAAGACCAUGAAAAUUGAAAUUCAUUGAGGAGUCGUCUCUCUCGAAUUCCGACAGCAAAUUAAUUCAUCACAGAUCACUAUUACUAUCCUUGGUACAAGGUGAGAGUAAAAGACGAAGAAGAGAGAUGGAAGAAAAAAUAAGUAAUAAGAGAGAUAGAGAUAACGAAGAAGAGAGAGAGAUAAAGGAUGUUUGGGUAGUGAGAGAUAAAUGAUGUUUGGGUGAGAUGAAGAGAAAGAUAAAUAAAUGAAGAAGAGAGAUAUAGAUGAGACGAAGGAGAGAGAAAGAGGAAUGAUAUUUGGAUAAAGAGAAAGUAAAUAUUGGGACCAUGGUUAGUUAGGAUGAGUUGAGGGUGUUAUGGUAAAAAAACUUAAAAAUGUGACCACUACCCCUAAUGUGUUCCAGAGGGAGAUUGAGUUUCAAUAAAAUGUCCCAUAGAGUAAUAUUUCCUUUAAGAUACAGAACAAAAACAAAGGUAACAGAGAUAUGUAACGUUUAUUUUUUUAUUUUAUGUCGACACAACAAAAUACUUCAAUGUUUAGGUAAAAAAAAAAAAAAAGGGUAAAACCCAUGGAUUGGAUGGUAUUGGUAAAAAUGACAAAGAAACGUCACAAAGUUGAAGACGUUCGUCCCUUGCCCGCCACUCAAGUGAUGACUUAUAUAUGAGUCUUAUGACCAAUAAUAUACAUAUAUCUCCUCCUAUUUUUGUCAAACAAGUCCAAAUUUGCUUCUUGCUACGCCUUCGUGGCACGCAAAAUAUCAACAACACAAAAGAAUUGUCUGAACACAAACACUAUCAAGUAUUUAAGACAUCAGCGGUGAUGUCAUCACCACAUCCAUAUCUUUUCCAAAAUUUGCAACCUUUAUAUCCCGACAAUUUUUAGCAAAUUCUCUACCUCUUUCUCUUCUCUCUCUUCUGUGGGAGAAAAAAUGGAGAUAUCGCUUGCAUCGGUAACCAUUUCAGUAGCUAUAGCUGUUGUGUCGUGGUGGAUAUGGAGAACUUUACAGUGGGUUUGGUUUAAACCAAAGAUGCUUGAGAGUUACCUGAGAAGACAAGGUCUUGCCGGAACUCCUUACACACCUCUUGUCGGCGAUUUAAAGAGGAAUUUCAGCAUGCUGGCUGAGGCAAGAGCCAAACCCCUCAAACUAACGGAUGACAUCACAACACGUGUCGUGCCUUAUCCCUUGCAAAUGUUCAAGACUUACGGUACGCUUCCUGGUUGGCAUCUCUUGAUUCUUUAGAACUGUUGCAGAGUAUCUGUUCUAGAGAAAAAGGUUUCAACCUUUGUAUUUUUAUUAUAUCGUUGGAACGGAACAGGAAGGACUUACUUUUCAUGGUUUGGACCUAUACCAACCAUCACUAUAAUGGAUCCUGAGCAAAUCAAGGAAGUGUUCAACAAAGUUUAUGAUUUCCAAAAGCCGCAUACAUUCCCUAUAGCCACAUUGAUAGCUAAAGGACUCGCUAAUUAUGAUGGUGAUAAAUGGGCGAAACACCGAAGAAUCAUCAACCCGGCUUUUCAUCUUGAGAAGAUCAAGGUUUAGUAACCAGGAAUCAAGUUAGAUUGUUUUAUGUGUGUAUGUUCAUUUGGCUCUGACCCAAAUUUGUGCUCCUAUGUCUAGAAUAUGGUACCUGCGUUCCACCGGAGCUGUAGCGAGGUUGUUGGCCAAUGGGAUAAGUUAGUGUCGGAUAAAGGCUUGUCAUGUGAGGUAGAUAUUUGGCCUGGGCUUGUGAGUAUGACUGCAGAUGUGAUCUCUCGUACAGCUUUUGGCAGCAGCUACAAAGAAGGGCAGAGGAUCUUUGAGCUCCAAGCAGAACU